ensembl:lncRNA
AAUAUAGUAUUUACGUAAAAGUUGUUAGGAGUUUCUCUCUUUUUAAUUAGCAGAAAUAAAUGCAAAAUGAAUGGUAAUUAGGCAGCUGAUGGAUUCGGUAGUACAAUUAUGCUUGCAGCAGUGCCCUAGUCCUUAAACGCUGCCUGCUCUGAGGAAUCAGAGGAGCCUAUUUAUAUAGUUUAUUUAUAAAACAAAGUUAGCAGGAACAGAGGGGCAAGGCCUGGGUACUGCUGGGGGAGGGUCUUGGCUGCAGGGACGGGGCCCUGGGAGGAGAGGGGAGCUUCUGUGCCCAAGGAAUGGGUGGUGGUGGUUCUUAGGACUGGGCUGUCCAAGUGCACCACCAAGGCCCCCACAUGUCUAUUUCAGGCCCCACAUGUGUCACUGGGAAUGGCCUCCCUGGCAGGAAGCAAGCUAGAGUGUUGUGGAGGGGCUGGGAGCAGCUGUUCUGUGCACUCCUGUCUGUCUCUUUCUUCGGCCCCUACUUCUCUCUUUUUUGCUGGCCCAAUUCCUUCAUUGCUGCACCUUGAGGCAUAUUCUUCUACAAUGUUCUCCCUUUCCCCCAGAAACUCAAGGGGAAGCGGGUCUCAGAAUAACGCAACCAAACACAGUAGCACUGAGUUCCGGACCAAUGGAGCACCUGGUGGGAGACAGAGGCAGCAGAGUCUUGAGAGGAGGCAGCCCAGAGGAAGAGACCAGCAUUGGGUUUUGAAGGAUGCGUAGGAGUUUCCAGAGAAGUUGGGAAGUAGCAAAAGGACCUGCAUGUGCAAAGGCAGGGAGCAGUUCCAUGGAGGUCUGGAAACCUGAGCUCCGCCUGAGCCGGUAUCUGCUGCCACUCAGGACUGUGCUCUGAACUUGUAAGGGAAGACAGAGAUCACACCGCACGGCCUCUCUGCUCUAUGAAGAAAUGAGGCAAAGAGAGAUUAAGCCACGCUUCUAAAGUUACAAAGAGAGGAGUGUGAAGAGUCUGGAAAACCCCAAUGCCAAGGCUCGGAGUCCAUACCUUUCACCACAUCCAUGCCCUCUGCACUCAUCCACCAAAGGUGUGCUGAGUACCUUUAAUGAAG